CCUUACACAUGCAAGUAUCUGCACACCCGUGAGAACGCCCUCCACCCUCACCCAGGAAGAGGAGCCGGUAUCAGGCACACACUAAGCCCACAACACCUAGCUACGCCACACCCACAAGGGUACUCAGCAGUGAUAAACAUUGACCUUAAGCGCCAGCUUGAAUCAGCCGGGGUAAAGAGAGCCGGCAAAUCCGGUGCCAGCCGCCGCGGCUACACCAUAGGCCCAAGUUGAUGCACUCCGGCGUUAAGCGUGGUUAAAGUCACACUAUAAAUUAGAACCAAACUUCAACCAAGUUGUGACACACUUGUUACCAGAAGCCCAUAAACGAAAGUUAUUCUAACCAACCCAAUUGACGCCACGACAAUUAGAGCACAAACUGGGAUUAGGUACCCCACUAUGUCUAACUGUAAAACAUUCACUUACACCAAAACCGCCUAGAAAUUACGAGCUAAAGCUUAAAACCUAAAGGACUUGACGGUGCCCCACCCACCUAGAGGAGCCUGUUCUGUAAUCGAUUCCCCCCGAUAAACCUCACCACUUCUAGCCUCCAGCCUGUAUACCUCCGUCGUAAGCUUACCAUGUGAACGAACCUAGUGAGCCCGAAGGUCACCACCCAUACGUCAGGUCAAGGUGCAGCUAACGAACUGGGAAGAAAUGGGCUACAGUCUCUACCUUAGAACCACGAAAGGCUACAUGAUAACGCAGCCUGAAGGCGGAUUUAGCAGUAAAAAGAAAAUAGAGAGUUCUUUUUAACCAGGCGCUGGGACGCGUACACACCGCCCGUCACCCUCUUCACAUAC
rnacentral:ncRNA from 1 species